rnacentral:rRNA from 1 species
UGGGGAAUUUUUGGACAAUGGGGCGAAAGCCUGAUCCAGCAAUGCCGCGUGUGUGAAGAAGGCCUUCGGGUUGUAAGCACUUUUGUCCGGAAAGAAAUCCUUGGCUCUAAUACAGUCGGGGGAUGACGGUACCGGAAGAAUAAGCACCGGCUAACUACGUGCCAGCAGCCGCGGUAAUACGUAGGGUGCAAGCGUUAAUCGGAAUUACUGGCGUAAGCGUGCGCAGGCGGUUUGCUAAGACCGAUGUGAAAUCCCCGGGCUCAACCUGGGAACUGCUUGGUGACUGGCAGGCUAGAGUAUGGCAGAGGGGGUAGAAUUCCACGUGUAGCAGUGAAAUGCGUAGAGAUGUGGAGGAAUACCGAUGGCGAAGGCAGCCCCCUGGGCCAAUACUGACGCUCAUGCACGAAAGCGUGGGGAGCAAACAGGAUUAGAUACCCUGGUAGUCCACGCCCUAAACGAUGUCAACU